rnacentral:rRNA from 1 species
UACGUAGGGCGCAAGCGUUAUCCGGAAUUAUUGGGCGUAAAGAGCUCGUAGGCGGUUUGUCGCGUCUGCUGUGAAAGACCGGGGCUCAACUCCGGUUCUGCGGUGGGUACGGGCAGACUAGAGUGAUGUAGGGGGAGACUGGAAUUCCUGGUGUAGCGGUGAAAUGCGCAGAUAUCAGGAGGAACACCGAUGGCGAAGGCAGGUCUCUGGGCAUUAACUGACGCUGAGGAGCGAAAGCAUGGGGGAGCGAACAGG